CGGUGUUUAACUGGCGUGAUGUGGGACGUCCUACCGGUGGGCUUAGCCUCGCGAGGGGCGGCCCAACUAAUAUCCCGUCGCGGUGCUCUUUACUGAGUGUCGAGUCGGGCCGGUACGUUUACUUUGAACAAAUUAGAGUGCUUAAAGCAGGCUAUCCUCGCCUGAAUACUGCGUGCAUGGAAUAAUGGAAUAGGACCUCGGUUCUAUUUUGUUGGUUUUCGGAACCCCGAGGUAAUGAUUAAUAGGGACAGAUGGGGGCAUUCGUAUUGCGACGUUAGAGGUGAAAUUCUUGGAUCGUCGCAAGACGGACAGAAGCGAAAGCAUUUGCCAAAAAUGUUUUCAUUAAUCAAGAACGAAAGUUAGAGGUUCGAAGGCGAUCAGAUACCGCCCUAGUUCUAACCAUAAACGAUGCCAGCUAGCGAUCCGCCGAAGUUCCUCCGAUGACUCGGCGGGCAGCUUCCGGGAAACCAAAGCUUUUGGGUUCCGGGGGAAGUAUGGUUGCAAAGCUGAAACUUAAAGGAAUUGACGGAAGGGCACCACCAGGAGUGGAGCCUGCGGCUUAAUUUGACUCAACACGGGAAACCUCACCAGGCCCAGACGCCGGAAGGAUUGACAGAUUGAUAGCUCUUUCUUGAUUCGGUGGGUGGUGGUGCAUGGCCGUUCUUAGUUGGUGGAGCGAUUUGUCUGGUUAAUUCCGAUAACGAACGAGACUCUAGCCUGCUAAAUAGGCGUACCUUAUGGUAUCGCGAAGGCCCCCGGCUUCGGCCGGUGGGUUUUUACUACCAACGUACAAACAAAUCUUCUUAGAGGGACAGGCGG
rnacentral:rRNA from 1 species